rnacentral:rRNA from 1 species
AUCGAACGCUGGCGGCAUGCCUUACACAUGCAAGUCGAACGGUAACAGGUCUUCGGAUGCUGACGAGUGGCGAACGGGUGAGUAAUGCAUCGGAACGUGCCCAGUUGUGGGGGAUAACUGCUCGAAAGAGCAGCUAAUACCGCAUACGACCUGAGGGUGAAAGCGGGGGAUCGCAAGACCUCGCGCAAUUGGAUCGGCCGAUGUCAGAUUAGGUAGUUGGUGGGGUAAAGGCCUACCAAGCCGACGAUCUGUAGUUGGUCUGAGAGGACGACCAGCCACACUGGGACUGAGACACGGCCCAGACUCCUACGGGAGGCAGCAGUGGGGAAUUUUGGACAAUGGGCGCAAGCCUGAUCCAGCAAUGCCGCGUGCAGGAAGAAGGCCUUCGGGUUGUAAACUGCUUUUGUCAGGGAAGAAAUCCUCUGGGUUAAUACCCCGGGGGGAUGACGGUACCUGAAGAAUAAGCACCGGCUAACUACGUGCCAGCCGCCGCAGUAACAC